AUCCUUCCCUCCGAUCACGGCUGGCAGUCGGUCCAGGAUUCCUCCGAGUUCCGUCAGCUGGACCCGACCCACUCUCGCCCGGCACGCCAACCUGCCUUCUCGUCCUCUGUGCUCCGAACGCCCGUAGAGCCCGUAGACCACUCCCCUUGGCUAAGUCUCAGCUGAUCUCGGUCCGAUUCCCCGUCGCCUCCUGUGAACCAGACGUUCCUUCGCUCCCAGCCGUCUCCCGAGCCCCUGCGUUUUCUGAUCUCGGCGGAUUAAUUGUUUGCCCUAAAGAAUAAACUGUUGGAACUCUGA